rnacentral:lncRNA from 1 species
CCAUAGUCGUUUGAUUGUUGUAACCGAAUAAAAGAGUUUUUGUUCGGAAUUUGUUUUUUUUUGUCAAAAAUGGUGGUAAAGAAGCAUUAUUUCACGUGUUUGGUGCAAGAAAGAUGCAGGUCCAACUUUUUUUCAAUUUUUUUUCUUAUUUUUUCAAAAAUUAUCUACUUCAAAAUAGUUACAAGUAUUGACUAAAUCUGUUUGUCAUCGAUUGAUAUUAUGUCUUUCGGGUUAAAAUAAAAACUUAUAUUAAAAAACAGUUUUUUUCAAUUUCCCAACAAUUACCAAAUAUGGAGCUGCACCCUUCUUACAGCAAACUCCUCAAUUGAUUUUAAC